GGACCUUAAUAACCCUGCAUCUCCCCCUUCUCUAUAGCAUUCAGAUAUUCAAUAAAAUUUGUACGUUGCUCAUUGCUUUUUCUGGUAUUUGGUCCUUUGACUGACUGGUUUUCCUGACAUUGUGAUUGCUGAAUUGGCUGAUUGAAAGAAGAACUUGAUUGAUUUUUUUCCCUCUUCUUGCUCAUCCAAAACCUUAUAUGCUGUGUUUUCCGGGUUCUUUUUUUUUCCUUCUUCUCUUAGUAUUUCUUUGUUUAAAGCAACAUUUUGUUUUCUCUGUGGCACUGCUUCCAU
rnacentral:misc_RNA from 1 species